GCGGUGGCGGAGCGUCGUUUGCGACGCCCAACACACAAAACAAGCGGUGAAUGCUUUGGGGUGGGGUGACUGCGUACCUUUUGUAUAAUGGGUCAGCGACUUAUAUUCUGUAGCAAGGUUAACCGAAUAGGGGAGCCGGAGGGAAACCGAGUCUUAAUUGGGCGUUAAGUUGCAGGGUAUAGACCCGAAACCCGGUGAUCUAGCCAUGGGCAGGUUGAAGGUUGGGUAACACUAACUGGAGGACCGAACCGACUAAUGUUGAAAAAUUAGCGGAUGACCUGUGGCUGGGGGUGAAAGGCCAAUCAAACCGGGAGAUAGCUGGUUCUCCCCGAAAGCUAUUUAGGUAGCGCCUCGUGAAUUCAUCUCCGGGGGUAGAGCACUGUUUCGGCUAGGGGGCCAUCCCGGCUUACCAACCCGAUGCAAACUGCGAAUACCGGAGAAUGUUAUCACGGGAGACACACGGCGGGUGCUAACGUCCGUCGUGAAGAGGGAAACAACCCAGACCGCCAGCUAAGGUCCCAAAGUCAUGGUUAAGUGGGAAACGAUGUGGGAAGGCCCAGACAGCCAGGAUGUUGGCUUAGAAGCAGCCAUCAUUUAAAGAAAGCGUAAUAGCUCACUGGUCGAGUCGGCCUGCGCGGAAGAUGUAACGGGGCUAAACCAU
rnacentral:rRNA from 1 species